AACAAGGCGUACCUGCGGACCUGCGGAAGGAUCAUUACAAGUGACCCCGGUCUAACCACCGGGAUGUUCAUAACCCUUUGUUGUCCGACUCUGUUGCCUCCGGGGCGACCCUGCCUUCGGGCGGGGGCUCCGGGUGGACACUUCAAACUCUUGCGUAACUUCGCAGUCUGAGUAAACUUAAUUAAUAAAUUAAAACUUUCAACAACGGAUCU
rnacentral:misc_RNA from 1 species